GCCUAGGUGGCUUAGUGGUUGAGCAUCUGCCUUCAACUCAGGUUGUGAUCCUGGUGUUCUGGAUGGAGUCUAGCCUUAGGCU
rnacentral:tRNA from 1 species